UGAUAUUUCACAAGCAUGUGUAUGGGUGCUUACUGUAGUCCUGGUUUGACUGGGCAGCUGGCAGCUGGUUGCAACGGCAGGUCGCUUCACUUCUUCAGGUCAGGCGAUGGAAGGGAGGAAGCGUGAUGAAACCUGUGUGAUCCCAUCAAAAAGGAAAGAAUUGCACAAACAAUGACGUGGCACCUUUAAAAGAUGGAGAAUGGAAUAGAUUGGGGAUCUCCUGUGGGAGUUGUUCUAAAGUUCUGGGCAAUCCAUGUGGCCAUGCUAUGUGGGGCUGUGCACAGGGAUGCUGUCACGCUUGUCACUGACAAGCCAGGUGAGAAAAAAGAAUACAUCCUGCAAAGUUGUUCCGACAUCAGUCUGAGCAGUGGUAUUUGAUGUGAAGCUAAAACUGUGCUACAGGUUGCGUGCCUUGCAGAUUAUUUAAAGGAGCAAUGGCAAUUCAUGUGGUCAUUUUCCAAAAUCCAAGUCCUCACUGCAGGGGAUCUCGGUACCCGAAUUGUUGAUGCACUGAGGUUGUUUCCUACUUAUUCCUAUCUCUCUGCUUUUCUUAUAUGAUUCUGAAUGUAAGUAAUCACAUUAAGGAAAGUGACAAGUUUGUAACGCAUAAGUUUCAAUGUAAAAUACUGCUUUUGUAGGACUGGAUAGGAUAGCAGUUUUUGGAAGAAUAUCCUUUCUGUAGUACAAUAAUAAAGGCAUACUGUUUUCCCACAAAAAUGUUGUUGCAGCAUUGCAUAGAACUCCCAAAUCCCAAUGGACAAGGGCAAGGUCGACAUACGAUCUGUGCGCCUCCAGCGCACUGCCUAUUGAUCAUGUGGAACCAUAGAAGGAAUUCAAUCACUACUAAUUGGUUAGGAGAGAGUCAAUAUUUAGUAUUAGGGAGCAAGCUGCAAUUCUAGAGCCAUUACAAGGGUUGUCCCCAUAAUAGCAAGACCAGGCGAGGGUCACAAAGUUAUCUCUGUGGGGUUGAUCUCUAUUUAUCUUUUAAGCAAUGUGAUGCAGCAGGCGGGCAAGGAAAAGAUCGACUUUUGGCGUGAAUUACUUUUGCCCUCCAGGUGACAAGAAAAAUUCGACAUUUGUAUGGUUGGUGUGCUAUCAAUCUAUCAUAUUCUGAAUCUGCCACAGCCAGU
rnacentral:lncRNA from 1 species